rnacentral:rRNA from 1 species
GGACGAACGCUGGCGGCGUGCUUAACACAUGCAAGUCGAACGGUGAAGCCCUUCGGGGUGGAUCAGUGGCGAACGGGUGAGUAACACGUGAGUAAUCUGCCUCUGACUCUGGGAUAACCACGGGAAACGGUGGCUAAUACCGGAUAUGACGUAUGGCCGAGUGGUCUGUGCGUGGAAAGUUUUCGUCAGAGAUGAGCUCGCGGCCUAUCAGCUUGUUGGUGGGGUAAGNGGCCUACCAAGGCGACGACGGGUAGCCGGCCUGAGAGGGCGACCGGCCACACUGGGACUGAGACACGGCCCAGACUCCUACGGGAGGCAGCAGUGGGGAAUAUUGCGCAAUGGGCGAAAGCCUGACGCAGCGACGCCGCGUGAGGGAU